CUGGUCGGCUACAGUCCGUGGGGGUUUGCAAAGAGUUGGACAUGACUGAGCGACUAAGCACAGCACACAAAAGUCAUAUUCCUCUUCCUGUGUGCAAUGAUUGGAAUAAGGAAGAAAAACAGGCACAGCUUCAUCACAACUGGUGAUGUGAUCCUUAUGGAUUAAUGAUGUGGUAGAAUUUAACUUGUAAAUCAAACUGUCACUCAUUUGUGUGCCCAGUCAUCCGCAAAUGUUCUGAUGACUAAGUUUUCUUUUCCAGCAACUUACAGGUUCGAUGAAUGCUAAAGAGGCUUAUCAGCUGCUGAAUGUGGGCAUGCAUGAGGCUGCAGAGUUCCAGGCUAGUGCAAGAUUCCUAGUCAAAAUAACCUUGGAAAAAGUGCCCAACGAAUAGGAGCUCAGCGACUGGCUUGCUGCCACCAUGGAAUGAAAGUGUACUGGGGCAAAUGGAGAUCUGGUCAGGAGGACACGUUGGUUUCAGCUUCGGUGCUGCCUCCUUGAGGCUGAUGCAAUUGUGUGUUUAAGGGUUCAACGUUGCGUCCAGAUGCAGCAAGAAAGAGGGCCAUAACCCAUCACUGUUUUCUGAGAAGGUACCUCACAUAAAUAGAGGACUUCCCUGGUGACUUAGUGGUUAACAAGUCUGCCUGCCAAUACAGAAAACUUGGCUUUGAUCCCUGGGUCGUGAAGAUCCCCUGGAGAAGGAAAUGGCAGCCGACUCCAGUAUUCUUGCCUGGAAAAUCUCAUGGACGGAGGAACCUGGUGGUCUACAGUCUAUGGAGUCGAAAAAGAGUCGGACACAAAUUAGUGACUAAGCAACGGCAACAACAACAUAUAAAUAGAAGCAUACAAUUUUUGUCUUUUUGUGUCUGAGUAACUUUGGCUUCUGUCCCGGAUAUUGUGAAUGUUAUGUUACGCAGACUCUGGAGUCUAUCAUAGUCUUCUAAAGAAUGUUAACAAUUUUGUUUUAGCUGCUAAUUAAGUUUAUUGGACUUAAACUUCAAACUCUGCCUCUUGUCAGCCACUCCAAUCUCCAUUCAGUCCUUUGAUCUUCAACUAGUUUGCUCGUAGCCUGACCUACUCAUGCAUCAUGGUUCAGGGCUCAGCCCGAGAUUUGGACAAAAGUUUUUACACAGAAUUUGCGGCUUUUUCC
ensembl:lncRNA